AGUGAACGCUGGCGGUAGGCCUAACACAUGCAAGUCGAACGGCAGCACAGUAAGAGCUUGCUCUUACGGGUGGCGAGUGGCGGACGGGUGAGGAAUACAUCGGAAUCUACUUUUUCGUGGGGGAUAACGUAGGGAAACUUACGCUAAUACCGCAUACGACCUACGGGUGAAAGCAGGGGAUCUUCGGACCUUGCGCGAUUGAAUGAGCCGAUGUCGGAUUAGCUAGUUGGCGGGGUAAAGGCCCACCAAGGCGACGAUCCGUAGCUGGUCUGAGAGGAUGAUUAGCCACACUGGAACUGAGACACGGUCCAGACUCCUACGGGAGGCAGCAGUGGGGAAUAUUGGACAAUGGGCGCAAGCCUGAUCCAGCCAUACCGCGUGGGUGAAGAAGGCCUUCGGGUUGUAAAGCCCUUUUGUUGGGAAAGAAAAGCAGCAGGUUAAGACCCCGCUGUUCUGACGGUACCCAAAGAAUAAGCACCGGCUAACUUCGUG
rnacentral:rRNA from 1 species